AGCAAAAAAGGGGACGGAGGGGAUUAAGUCGUUUGUGGCACACAUGGGCCACAAACGACUUAAUCCCCUCCGUCCCCUUUUUCCUG
rnacentral:antisense_RNA from 1 species